AACGAACGCUAGCGGCAUGCCUAACACAUGCAAGUCGAACGAGACCUUCGGGUCUAGUGGCGCACGGGUGCGUAACGCGUGGGAAGCUGCCCUUAGGUUCCGAAUUACACCCUGACGUGGGUGCUAAUACCGGAUAGUGUCUUCGGACCAAAGAUUUAUCGCCUUUGGAGGGGCACGCGUUGGAUUAGCUAGUUGGUAGGGUAAAAGCCUACCAAGGGGACGAUCCAUAGCUGGUCUGAGAGAGUGAUCAGCCACACUGGGACUUAGACACGGCCCAGACUCCUACGGGAGGCAGCAGUGGGGAAUAUGGGACAAUGGGCGAAAGCCUGAUCCAGCAAUGCCGCGGGAGUGAUGAAGGCCUUAGGGUUGUAAAGCUCUUUUACCCGGGAUGAUAAUGACAGUACCGGGAGAAUAAGCUCCGGCUAACUCCGUG
rnacentral:rRNA from 1 species